GCUAAGCCCUGAACAUUGAAAGUUACAAAUACAAUACUUUCCGCCAGAGAACUACAAGUGAAAAACUUGAAACUCAAAGGACUUGACGGUGUCCCAUAUCGACCUAGAGGAGCCUGUCCUAUAAUCGAUACCCCCCGCUCCACCCAACCUCAACUAGCAAAAUAUCAGCCUAUAUACCGCCGUCGACACGUUUACCCUAUGAAGGCUCAAUAGUAAACACAAUAACCCUAUAACGCUAAUACGUCAGGUCAAGGUGUAGCAAAUGCUGAGGAAGAGAUUGGCUACAUUUUUUAUAAUAAAAAACACGAAUUGCACCAUGAAAUAAUGCAUGAAGGUGAAUUUAGUAGUAAAACAGAUAAGAGUGUCUGUUUUAACAACGCUCUGGGACGCGUACACACCGCCCGUCACCCUCCUCAACAAAAAUAAAACAACUUUCAUAAACAAAACUACUUAGACUAGAGGAGGU
rnacentral:rRNA from 1 species